ACGAACGCUGGCGGCUGCUUAACACAUGCAAGUCGAACGGAGUGGCGCACGGGUGAGUAACGCGUGAGCAACCUGCCUAUGACAGUGGGAUAGCCUCGGGAAACCGGGAUUAAUACCGCAUAGUCAUAGAUGGGCUCGCGUCUGAUUAGCUAGGUGGUGAGAUAACAGCCCACCAAGGCGACGAUCAGUAGCCGGUCGGAGAGGAGGAACGGGAACAUUGGAACUGGGACACGGUCCAAACUCCGACGGGAGGCAGCAGUGGGGAAUAUUGCACAAUGGGGGAAACCCUGAUGCAGCGACGCCGCGUGAACGAAGAAGGUAUUCGUAUCGUAAAGUUCUGUCCUAUGGGAAGCAGUACCAUAGAAGAAAGCUCCGGCUAAAUACGUGCCAGCAGCCGCGGUAAUAC
rnacentral:rRNA from 1 species